GUGAGGAAUCUUGCGCAAUGGGGGCAACCCUGACGCAGCCACGCCGCGUGCUGGAAGACGGCCCUAUGGGUUGUAAACAGCUUUUGGUCGGGAAGAACCCCGGAGUUUCGACUCCGGCUGACGGUACCGAUUGAAUAAGCACCGGCUAACUCCGUGCCAGCAGCCGCGGUAAUACGGAGGGUGCAAGCGUUGUCCGGAAUUAUUGGGUGUAAAGGGUGUGCAGGCGGAAGUCUAAGUCGGAGGUGAAAUCUUGCCGCUUAACGGUAAAAGGGCCUUCGAAACUGGAUUUCUUGAGUUCGGAAGAGGUUGGUGGAAUUCGGGGUGUAGCGGUGAAAUGCAUAGAUAUCACGAAGAACACCGGUAGCGAAGGCGGCCAACUGGUCCGAUACUGACGCUGAGACACGAAAGCGUGGGGAGCGAACAGGAUUAGAUACCCUGGUAGUCCACGCUGUAAACGAUGCAUGCUAGUUGUUGUCCCCUUGGGGGCAGUGACGCAGUUAACGCAGUAAGCAUGCCACCUG
rnacentral:rRNA from 1 species